CCGAGUGAGGGUCUCUCAGGCCCGACCUCCCACCCUGUGUUUUUGUGACCUUGUUGCUUUGGCGGGCCCGCCUCGACGAGAGGCCGCCGGAAGCUCACCGCUUUGGGCCCGUGCCCGCCAGUAGCCCCCUUAAAUUCUUAAUAAACCUGUCGUCUGAGUCCAUGGAUAUAAUGAAAAA
rnacentral:misc_RNA from 1 species